AGUGAACGCUGGCGGUAGGCCUAACACAUGCAAGUCGAACGGCAGCACAGUAAGAGCUUGCUCUUACGGGUGGCGAGUGGCGGACGGGUGAGGAAUACAUCGGCAUCUACUUUUUCGUGGGGGAUAACGUAGGGAAACUUACGCUAAUACCGCAUACGACCUACGGGUGAAAGCAGUGGAUCUUCGGACCUUGCGCGAUUGAAUGAGCCGAUGUCGGAUUAGCUAGUUGGCGGGGUAAAGGCCCACCAAGGCGACGAUCCGUAGCUGGUCUGAGAGGAUGAUCAGCCACACUGGAACUGAGACACGGUCCAGACUCCUACGGGAGGCAGCAGUGGGGAAUAUUGGACAAUGGGCGCAAGCCUGAUCCAGCCAUACCGCGUGGGUGAAGAAGGCCUUCGGGUUGCAAAGCCCUUUUGUUGGGAAAGAAAAGCAGCAGGUUAAUACCCCGCUGUUCUGACGGUACCCAAAGAAUAAGCACCGGCUAACUUCGUG
rnacentral:rRNA from 1 species